rnacentral:rRNA from 1 species
GGGUGCGAUCAUACUAGUGUUAAUGCACUGAAUCCCAUCUGAACUCCACAGUUAAGUGCACUUGGGCUAUAGUAGUACUGGGAUGGGUGACCUCCCGGGAAGUCUUAGUGUUGCACCCU